rnacentral:rRNA from 1 species
AUGAUGAUGAAGAUGAUGAGGGUUACAUAUUAUCGUCUUGACAAGAAUGGAAGAUUACCGUCUUAUAUAAGUUCUCGUGCCAUUCUUUCCACCAAAAAUGAAUACGUGGAUGAAUUAAAUGUGAAGCUUAUAGACCGAUUUCCUGGAGAAGAAAAGGUCUACUAUAGUUUUGAUUCAGCAGUGGAUGAUACUCACAAUCACUACUCACCUGAAUUCCUGAAUUCUCUGACACCUAAUGGCCUACCUCCACAUGUUCUUAGGUUGAAAAUAAAUUGCCCUGUAAUCUUGCUUCGGAAUUUAGAUCCUCAUAAUGGAUUAUGCAAUGGCACAAGGCUUAUUAUUAAGGCAUUUCAAGAUAAUGCUAUCGAUGCUGAAAUUAUUGGAGGACAACAUGCUGGAAAGCGAGUAUUCCUUCCAAGAAUUCCUUUGUAUCCUUCUGAAGAUGAUGUGCUUCCCUUCAAGUUCAAGAGAAAGCAAUUUCCAAUUCGUCUUAGCUUUGCAAUGACAAUCAAUAAAGCUCAAGGUCAAACAAUUCCGCAUGUUGGUAUCUACCUUCCAGAACCUGUGUUCUCUCACGGUCAACUAUAUGUUGCAUUGUCCCGAGGAAUAUCAAGGCAAACAACAAGAAUACUUGCCAAGCCAAACAGGGAUGUCGACCCAUCAGGAAAAAGUACCAAAAAUAUUGUCUAUAAGGAGGUUUUGGCACGAUAA